rnacentral:rRNA from 1 species
UACAGAGGGUGCGAGCGUUGUUCGGAAUUAUUGGGCGUAAAGGGCGCGUAGGCGGCGCCACAAGUCACUUGUGAAAACUCUGGGCUCAACUCAGAGCCUGCAAGCGAAACUGUGGUGCUGGAGUAUGGGAGAGGUGCGUGGAAUUCCCGGUGUAGCGGUGAAAUGCGUAGAUAUUCGGAAGAACACCGGUGGCGAAGGCGACCUUCUGGGCCGCAACUGACGCUGAGGCACGAAAGCCUGGGGAGCAAACGGG